rnacentral:rRNA from 1 species
GACGAACGCUGGCGGCGUGCUUAACACAUGCAAGUCGAGCGGUAAGGCCCUUUCGGGGGUACACGAGCGGCGAACGGGUGAGUAACACGUGGGUGACCUGCCCUCAGCUCUGGGAUAAGCCCGGGAAACUGGGUCUAAUACCGGAUAUGACUUCAUGACGCAUGUUGUGGAGUGGAAAGCCUUGUGCGGCUGAGGAUGGGCCCGCGGCCUAUCAGCUUGUUGGUGGGGGUGA